UACGUAGGUGGCGAGCGUUGUCCGGAUUUACUGGGCGUAAAGAGCGCGCAGGCGGUCGUUCAAGUCGCGUGUGAAAGCCCCCGGCUCAACUGGGGAGGGUCACGCGAUACUGAUCGACUCGAAGGCAGGAGAGGGAAGUGGAAUUCCCGGUGUAGUGGUGAAAUGCGUAGAUAUCGGGAGGAACACCAGUGGCGAAAGGCGACUUCCUGGCCUGUUCUUGACGCUGAGGCGCGAAAGCUAGGGGAGCAAACGGG
rnacentral:rRNA from 1 species